UGUGAAGAAGCAUAUUCUAGAAGGCUACAGCUGGAAUAUGGUUGUCGGAGAGGAAUGCGGGAACCAUGUGAAGGCAGCAGCUUCAGAGUCUAUAUAAUUGAGAGAAUGAGCGUGGGAUGGGUGUGAAUUGAGUAUUUUAACCGUACUACUGGGAUGAGCAAUAGAGAGGUGUUCUGGAAUUAUUUCCUGAAAUUCUUGUAUCCCACCUGUAUUUCUGAACUACUGAAUAAGAAACACUCUUCUUGCUGCCAUUUCUUUUCUUUGCAACUUUCAAUUACCAUUUAUUUUUCCUUUUUAGCUUCUUACUCUAUCAGUGUUUAUAGUAUCCACCAAUGUCAUGGUCUCAUAGUAAAAUAAGAUUUGUGGAUAUUGUUGUGAAUUGCUUCUUCCUUAGGAAAUAGAUGAGACAAUGCUCAUCAUAAUACCAUUCAGUGCAGCUGAAAUUAGCCCAUGAUAUGGAGAAAUUCAAUUUUCAAAAUCCACCGCAACACCAAUGGAUAGAUGAAGUUUGUAGUGUUAUCGCUAAUUAUUUGGUAGGCUAAGUUGAUGAUAUAUUUAUUGGCUGAUCUUAAAAGGGUGCAAAUGGACAAUGAGUACUUAAUGCAUUUUACUAGGAAAAGAGAAAACAACUACUAAAUUGCUUUUUACAUGUUUGCCUGUGAUUAGUAUUAUGAAUGUGGGAUAGAAGUUGGUAUUUGAGGAUUUUGAAGCAAAGGACUGUCUUAUCUUCAUUUCUGUACUCCACCACGUAGGCCUAUAUUUAAUAUGACAUUGGAAAUAGAGGGGAUGAAGAAAUGAUUCCAGACAUGAGCAUGUCAUUUUGCUGAUGGUGAUCUAGUUUGGUGUUGGUAGGGAAAAUGAAGUGGAAAGAGAGGAACACAACAGAAACACAAGAACUUGUAUUGCUGGUUAAACUAUGAAAAUGGAGGGAACAAAAGAUUACUUUCCAUUGUCUAGCAACUUUGUCAUAGUUCAAAGAAAGCCGAUCUUUUAUUUGGGUUCUAAUGAAUCCAACUAUAAACAAUUGAAUCCUCAAUUAUACAAUUGCCAACUAAAAUGAUCACAUGAAUCGUCCAACCCAUCUGAAUAAAAUACAGGAAUAUAUUAUAGGUAAGUGAAGAAGCCUUCCACUGUGUUGUGUUUGACCCAGCCAAUGGCAAAGAACAAUUCAUGUGGAGCAGGAUGUCUAACAUCUGCUGUACUUUUGAAAACCUGAAACCUAAUGAUUUUUGUAUCCUCUUUGCAUUUGAUAAUAGUCAUGGGCCAUAGGAAAAGGUAGAAUUUGGG
rnacentral:misc_RNA from 1 species